rnacentral:rRNA from 1 species
CCCUUAGAUGUUCUGGGCUGCACGCGCGCUACACUGAAGCUAUCAACACGUUUUCCCUCCCUGAGAAGGGCGGGUAACCUUUUGAAUCAGCUUCGUGGUAGGGAUCGGGGCUUGCAAUUGUUCCCCGUGAACCAGGAAUUCCUAGUAGACGCGAGUCAUAAGCUCGCAUCGAUUAAGUCCCUGCCCUUUGUACACACCGCCCGUCGCUACUACCGAUUGAACGUUUUAGUGAGGCAUUUGGACCGACGCAUCUCAGUUUAACCGCUGGUUUGUGUUGGAACGACUUCCAAACUUGAGCGUUUAGAGGAAGUAAAAGUCGUAACA